UCGCGUUCCUGGGCUAGGGAACCUUCCUCCAUCUCAGAGCCGGCCAUGGGGUGUCCCCUGACCUUCCGCAGCCAUGUCCCCCUUCGAUGGAGCUCUGCUUCUGGCCCUCCCUCCACACUGAAGGCCCCUGUGAUCACAUGGCCCACCCGCCAAUCCAGGUGGCCUCCCUCCAAGGUCAGCCGGUGAGCUGCCUUCAUGCCUGCAUGGUGUCUCUGACCCUUGGCCACGCAACCUAACAUAGUCACAGGUCCUGGAGAUUUGCACUGGGAUAUCUUGGGUGAGGGGAAUUAUUCUGCUGACCCCCGAUGGCAACUGCAGUGGUGGGAGGGGAAGAGAACACCAGGAUGUGUUCAGAGAGAGAGGCGUGGACCUCAGGGGGUGUCAGGGGAAGAGGGCCCGGGAGGGAGAAAGCAUUUGGUUUAGACGUGUUGGGUGUGAGGUGCCCAUGGAAUAGCAGGGUGGAGCUGGUGGGGGAAGCUGGGGGGCUGCCCUGGGGCUCUAGCACAUGGAGGCCAAGGAGGGAGUCGUGGGGUGGAGGGGGCACAGGGCUCCCCAAGGUCCUGGGUCUGCCUCAGGGCCGCUGCUACUCCACACCCCUCCUCCCAUGCCUGAGCACCCAUGGCAGUGACCAGCAGUGACCAUCAUCACCCAAUGAGGAUGGAGAGAAACUGAGGCUGGCCUGAGAUGUCCUGAGGAAUGAGCUGGCACCAGAGUCCCACAGGUGAAGGGCUCAGAGGAAAUGGUCAUGGAG
rnacentral:lncRNA from 10 species